UUGUAGCAUGCGCGCACCGGUAUUAUGUGAAAUGGGAAUCCAGUGUAAAUCUGGAGCUGACGCGCAGCGGUAAUAAGUGUCAUGACAACAGCCUCGUGCAGACACUGUCCUUGUGAUGGGAAGUCGUUGUCAUUUAUGACUUUAAGCCCGAAGACCUGCCGGUGUUACGUCGCUUUC
rnacentral:ncRNA from 2 species